GACGAACGCUGGCGGCGUGCCUAAUACAUGCAAGUAGAACGCUGAAACUUGGUGCUUGCACCGAGCGGAUGAGUUGCGAACGGGUGAGUAACGCGUAGGUAACCUGCCUGGUAGCGGGGGAUAACUAUUGGAAACGAUAGCUAAUACCGCAUAAGAGUAGAUGUUGCAUGACAUUUGCUUAAAAGGUGCAAUUGCACCACUACCAGAUGGACCUGCGUUGUAUUAGCUAGUUGGUGGGGUAACGGCUCACCAAGGCGACGAUACAUAGCCGACCUGAGAGGGUGAUCGGCCACUCUGGGACUGAGACACGGCCCAGACUCCUACGGGAGGCAGCAGUAGGGAAUCUUCGGCAAUGGACGGAAGGCUGACCGAGCAACGCCGCGUGAGUGAAGAAGGUUUUCGGAUCGUAAAGCUCUGUUGUAAGAGAAGAACGAGUGUGAGAGUGGAAAGUUCACACUGUGACGGUAUCUUACCAGAAAGGGACGGCUAACUACGUG
rnacentral:rRNA from 1 species